AGCUCCAAUAGCGUAUAUUAAAGUUGUUGCGGUUAAAAAGCUCGUAGUUGGAUUUCUGCCGGAGACGACCGGUCCGCCCUCUGGGUGCGCAUUUGGCUCGGCUUGGGCAUCUUCUUGGAAAGCGUAGCUGCAGCACUUGAAUGUGUGGUGCGCGGUUCAGGACAUCUACUUUGAGGAAAUUAGAGUGUUUCAAGCAGGCACGGGCCUUGAAUACAUUAGCAUGGAAUAGUAAGAUAGGACCUUGGUUCUAUUUUGUUGGUUUCUAGAGCUGGGGUAAUGAUUAAUAGGGAUAGUUGGGGGCAUCCGUAUUUAAUUGUCAGAGGUGAAAUUCUUGGAUUUGUUAAAGACGAACUACUGCGAAAGCAUUUGCCAAGGAUGUUUUCA
rnacentral:rRNA from 1 species